UACGUAGGGGGCUAGCGUUGUCCGGAAUCAUUGGGCGUAAAGGGCUCGUAGGUGGCCAACUAAGUCAGACGUGAAAUCCCUCAGCUUAACUGGGGAACUGCGUCUGAUACUGGAUGGCUUGAGUUUGGGAGAGGGAUGCGGAAUUCCAGGUGUAGCGGUGAAAUGCGUAGAUAUCUGGAGGAACACCGGUGGCGAAGGCGGCAUCCUGGACCAACACUGACACUGAGGAGCGAAAGCCAGGGGAGCAAACGGG
rnacentral:rRNA from 1 species